ensembl:misc_RNA
AUGGCAGUCCUGGAGACUGAAGUCCUCUGUUUAGCCACAGGACAGUACUACACAGGCAGCAGCUGUGCAAACUUUCCCCACACUCUCCUGCCAACAAACCUGACUCCUAACCUUUAAGAACUACUUCAAGGUCGCAAAGCUUGGAAUCUAUUGAGGCUGCCAACCAGGAGUCAGUAGGGUUCCAAA